CGUGUGACCUCCAUGUUUACUUGCUCCAAAGGAAUUUUCUUAAAUUCUCUUGUCGAUCAAUGGUCUUGAUUUACAUUUAUUUGAGGUUGGGGAUUUCAUUAUGGUAUUACAAUAUUUAGAUAAUUUUUCUCAAUUCUUUAUAUAUUUGCCCACCAUUCUCUAUAUUCGAUACUUAUUAAGCACCCAAUUAUUCCUUAUCCUUUAUUUUUUGGCUAAUUUUUCUCUUCUCUUAAUUUUUUUGGCCCAUCACAUUAUAUUCUGUAAACUCCAUCUAUUCUUCUGGGACUACUACAUGCAUUGCAGUUUGUUUAAGCUGUUUAUCUUACAGCAAAAGCAAGACUGCAUGCAACACUUUAAUAUUAUCUGCUAACUGAGUUAACAGUAAAAUUCCAAAAAGCUUGCUAUUUAUCACUUUUUUUGUCUGCACAAUAAAUAUCGCUUACAUAAAACUAUUUUUUAG
rnacentral:lncRNA from 1 species